CCUACGGGCGGCUGCAGUGGGGAAUAUUGGACAAUGGGCGAAAGCCUGAUCCAGCCAUGCCGCGUGUGUGAAGAAGGCCUUCGGGUUGUAAAGCACUUUCAGUGGGGAAGAAAGCCUUGGGGCUAAUACCCUCGAGGAAGGACAUCACCCACAGAAGAAGCACCGGCUAACUCCGUGCCAGCAGCCGCGGUAAUACGGAGGGGUGCGAGCGUUAAUCGGAAUUACUGGGCGUAAAGCGCGCGUAGGCGGUCUGAUAAGCCGGUUGUGAAAGCCCCGGGCUCAACCUGGGAACGGCAUCCGGAACUGUCAGGCUAGAGUGCAGGAGAGGAAGGUAGAAUUCCCGGUGUAGCGGUGAAAUGCGUAGAGAUCGGGAGGAAUACCAGUGGCGAAGGCGGCCUUCUGGACUGACACUGACGCUGAGGUGUGAAAGCGUGGGUAGCAAACAGGAUUAGAUACCCGAGUAGUC
rnacentral:rRNA from 1 species